GGAUUAGGCAUGCAAGUCGAACGAUUCUUUGGUACUCGUAUUAAAGAAUAGUGGCAAACGGGUGCGUAACACAUUGGUAAUCUACCCCAAAGUCGGGAAUAACUCGAGGAAACUCGAGCUAAUACCCGAUGUGCUAAUCCUUCAUAAGUUGGAUUAGUAAAGCUCCGGCGCUUUGGGAGGAGCCUAUGGCCUAUCAGCUUGUUGGCGAGGUAAAAGCUCACCAAGGCUACGACGGGUAGCGGGUGUGAGAGCACGACCCGCCUCACUGGGACUGAGACACUGCCCAGACUCCUACGGGAGGCUGCAGUCGAGGAUCAUUCGCAAUGCCCGAAAGG
rnacentral:rRNA from 1 species